CGCGUAGGCGGCUUGUACAGUCAGACGUGAAAUUCCUGGGCUCAACCUGGGGGCUGCGUUUGAUACGUGCGGGCUUGAGUUCGGAAGAGGGUCGUGGAAUUCCCAGUGUAGAGGUGAAAUUCGUAGAUAUUGGGGAGAACACCGGUGGCGAAGGCGGCGACCUGGUCCGAUACUGACGCUGAGGCGCGAAAGCGUGGGGAGCAAACAGGAUUAGAUACCCUGGUAGUCCACGCCGUAAACGAUGUGUGCUGGAUGUUGGGUGACAUAGUCAUUCAGUGUCGUAGCUAACGCGAUAAGCGCACCGCCUGGGGAGUACGGCCGCAAGGUUGAA
rnacentral:rRNA from 1 species